rnacentral:rRNA from 1 species
UACGAAGGGUGCAAGCGUUACUCGGAAUUACUGGGCGUAAAGCGUGCGUAGGUGGUUUGUUAAGUCUGAUGUGAAAGCCCUGGGCUCAACCUGGGAAUUGCAUUGGAUACUGGCAGGCUAGAGUGCGGUAGAGGGUAGUGGAAUUCCCGGUGUAGCAGUGAAAUGCGUAGAUAUCAGGAGGAACACCGGUGGUGUAGACGGCUCUCUGGACCAUAACUGACGCUGAGACACGAAAGCGUGGGUAGCAAACAGG